rnacentral:rRNA from 1 species
CCUACGGGAGGCAGCAGUGAGGAAUAUUGGUCAAUGGACGCAAGUCUGAACCAGCCAUGCCGCGUGCAGGAAGACGGCUCUAUGAGUUGUAAACUGCUUUUGUACGAGGGUAAACGCAGAUACGCGUAUCUGUCUGAAAGUAUCGUACGAAUACGGAUCGGCUAACUCCGUGCCAGCAGCCGCGGUAAUACGGAGGAUUCAAGCGUUAUCCGGAUUUAUUGGGUUUAAAGGGUGCGUAGGCGGUCGGAUAAGUUAGAGGUGAAAGCCCGAGGCUCAACUUCGGAAUUGCCUCUGAUACUGUUCGGCUAGAGAGUAGUAGCGGUAGGCGGAAUGUAUGGUGUAGCGGUGAAAUGCUUAGAGAUCAUACAGAACACCGAUUGCGAAGGCAGCUUACCAAGCUACUUCUGACGUUGAGGCACGAAAGCGUGGGGAGCAAACAGGAUUAGAUACCCCUGUAGUC